GUGGGGAAUAUUGGACAAUGGGCGAAAGCCUGAUCCAGCCAUGCCGCGUGUGUGAAGAAGGUCUUCGGAUUGUAAAGCACUUUAAGUUGGGAGGAAGGGCAGUAAGUUAAUACCUUGCUGUUUUGACGUUACCGACAGAAUAAGCACCGGCUAACUUCGUGCCAGCAGCCGCGGUAAUACGAAGGGUGCAAGCGUUAAUCGGAAUUACUGGGCGUAAAGCGCGCGUAGGUGGUUUUGUAAGUUUGAGGUGAAAUCCCCGGGCUCAACCUGGGAACUUCCUCCAAAACUGCAUGACUAGAGUACGGUAGAGGGUAGUGGAAUUUCCUGUGUAGCGGUGAAAUGCGUAGAUAUAGGAAGGAACACCAGUGGCGAAGGCGACUACCUGGACUGAUACUGACACUGAGGUGCGAAAGCGUGGGGAGCAAACAGGAUUAGAAACCCUAGUAGUCC
rnacentral:rRNA from 1 species